UACGUAGGGACCAAGCGUUGUUCGGAUUUACUGGGCGUAAAGGGCUCGUAGGCGGUUCGUCGCGUCGGGAGUGAAAACUCGGAGCUCAACUCCGAGCCUGCUUCCGAUACGGGCAGACUAGAGGUAGGCAGGGGAGAGCGGAACUCCUGGUGUAGCGGUGGAAUGCGCAGAUAUCAGGAAGAACACCGAUGGCGAAGGCAGUUCUCUGGGCCGUAACUGACGCUGAGGAGCGAAAGCGUGGGGAGCGAACAGG
rnacentral:rRNA from 1 species